AAGACAUGUGCUCACAAAGUAAAUGCAAAAACUGCAUUACAUGGUGUGGUCUAUCAUUCAUACCUGCGUCUCAACUCUCACAAGAAUGUUAAAGGUCGUCAGGAGGUCGUCGACCAGAAAGACCUAGGACCACUGAUUGACAGGGCAUGUGCCAAGUGCCGUCACGAUGGAC